GGGAAUGUAGUUCAGUGGUAGAGUGCUUGCCUUGCAUGCAUAAGGCCCUGGGUUCAAUUCCUCAGCACCA
rnacentral:tRNA from 1 species